GAUGAACGCUGGCGGCGUGCUUAACACAUGCAAGUCGAGCGGGCAAUUUAUCUAGCACUGAUUACUUCAAAUGGCUAUCGCCAGUGUAAUCAUGAAUUUCUACCUUUUAAUAAAGAAAAAAGAAAUUCAUGUACGCAGAUAGUGAUAACACAUUUUAGUGGAGUGAUGAGUGCUGGAUAAAUUGCUAGCGGCGGACGGGUGCGUAACACGUGGGUAACCUGCCCCUAUCACUGGGAUAACACACUGAAAAGUGUGCUAAUACCAGAUAACAUAAGCUUUUGGCAUCAUUAGCUUAUCAAAGAAUUUCGGAUAGGGAUGGGCCCGCGUCUGAUUAGCUUGUUGGUGAGGCAACGGCUCACCAAGGCAACGAUCAGUAGCCGACCUGAGAGGGUGAUCGGCCACACUGGAACUGAGACACGGUCCAGACUCCUACGGGAGGCAGCAGUGGGGAAUAUUGCACAAUGGGCGAAAGCCUGAUGCAGCAACGCCGCGUGAGCGAUGAAGGCCUUCGGGUCGUAAAGCUCUGUCCUAUGGGAAGAUAAUGACGGUACCAUAGGAGGAAGCCCCGGCUAACUACGUGCCAGCAGCCGCGGUAAUACGGAGGGUGCAAGCGUUAUCCGGAUUUAUUGGGUUUAAAGGGUCCGUAGGCGGAUUAAUCAGUCAGUGGUGAAAUCUCAUAGCUUAACUAUGAAACUGCCAUUGAUACUGUUAGUCUUGAGUGAUGUUGAAGUUGCUGGAAUGUGUAGUGUAGCGGUGAAAUGCUUAGAUAUUACGCAGAACACCAAUUGCGAAGGCAGGUGACUAAACAUCAACUGACGCUGAUGGACGAAAGCGUGGGGAGCGAACAGGAUUAGAUACCCU
rnacentral:rRNA from 1 species